AUUUUGACUAUACGAAGGUAUUGAAAUAAGGCUUUAAAUGAGUGCUAAGAGAAUGGUUUAACAAUUAUUAACUUUCUUUAAUUAAAAAAUUAAAUUUAAUUUUUUAUGUGAAGAAGCAAAAAUGAAAAUUAGGGACAAGAAGACCCUAUGAAUUUUAACUUAGGAAUAUUAAUUUUUUAAAAAUUUGUUAAGUUUGGUUGGGGCGAUAAAGAAAGAAUAUGUAUCUUUAAAAAAGCUUAGAAGUUUGUUCCGUUUAUAGCGAUUAUUUGAAAAAAAUACUCUAGGGAUAACAGCGUAAUAAUUUUGGAUAGUUCUUAUAGAUAAAAUAGUUUGCGACCUCGAUGUUGGAUUAGGAUUCUUAUUUGGCGAAGAAGUUAAAAUAAAGAAGUUUGUUCAACUUUUAAAUUCCU
rnacentral:rRNA from 1 species